rnacentral:SRP_RNA from 1 species
CCGUGCUCCACGGGGAAUUGCAAUCCCUUGACCCGAAGUUAAGGCGGGGUGCAGAGUCUGUUGUGAGGGUUCGGCGGGCAACUUUGAUAGAUUUAUUAUUGUUGACGAUUAAAAUCGUUAUGGCGUAAGCUGUCGAACCGUGUCAGGAUGGAAACAUAGCAGCACUAAGACAAUCCUUGCGGGUGUGAUUGUUUUAAUAAGAGAUAGUAGGUUUAAAGAUUUUGUCCGUUGCAUUCGAUAGACAGUUGCACGG